UACGUAGGUGGCGAGCGUUGUCCGGAAUUACUGGGUUUAAAGGGUGCGCAGGCGGAGAGAUAAGUCAGUGGUGAAAAACUGCCGCUCAACGGUAGUCUUGCCAUUGAUACUGUCUUUCUUGAGUAUGGAUGAGGUAGGCGGAAUGUGCAGUGUAGCGGUGAAAUGCAUAGAUAUUACACGGAACACCAAUUGCGAAGGCAGCUUACUGGACCAUUACUGACGCUCAGGCACGAAAGCGUGGGGAUCAAACAGGAUUA
rnacentral:rRNA from 1 species